ACGCGUGAGAAUCUGCCCUCAGGAGGGGGAUAACGGCUGGAAACGGCCGCUAAUACCCCAUAUGCCGAGAGGUGAAACGAGUUUUCGCCUGAGGAUGAGCUCGCGUCUGAUUAGCUAGUUGGUGGGGUAAGAGCCUACCAAGGCAUCGAUCAGUAGCUGGUCUGAGAGGAUGAUCAGCCACACUGGGACUGAGACACGGCCCAGACUCCUACGGGAGGCAGCAGUGGGGAAUUUUCCGCAAUGGGCGAAAGCCUGACGGAGCAACGCCGCGUGAGGGAUGAAGGCCUCUGGGCUGUAAACCUCUUUUAUCAAGGAAGAAGAUCUGACGGUACUUGAUGAAUAAGCCACGGCUAAUUCCGUGCCAGCAGCCGCGGUAAUACGGGAGUGGCAAGCGUUAUCCGGAAUUAUUGGGCGUAAAGCGUCCGCAGGCGGCCUGAUAAGUCUGUUGUCAAAGCGUGGAGCUCAACUCCAUUUCGGCAAUGGAAACUGUGAGGCUUGAGUGUGGUAGGGGCAGAGGGAAUUCCCGGUGUAGCGGUGAAAUGCGUAGAUAUCGGGAAGAACACCAGUGGCGAAGGCGCUCUGCUGGGCCAUAACUGACGCUCAUGGACGAAAGCCAGGGGAGCGAAAGGGAUUAGAUACCCCUGUAGUCCUGGCCGUAAACGAUGAACACUAGGUGUCGGGGGAAUCGACCCCCUCGGUGUCGUAGCCAACGCGUUAAGUGUUCCGCCUGGGGAGUACGCACGCAAGUGUGAAACUCAAAGGAAUUGACGGGGGCCCGCACAAGCGGUGGAGUAUGUGGUUUAAUUCGAUGCAACGCGAAGAACCUUACCAGGGUUUGACAUCCUGCGAAUCCCUUGGAAACGAGGGAGUGCCUUCGGGAGCGCAGAGACAGGUGGUGCAUGGCUGUCGUCAGCUCGUGUCGUGAGAUGUUGGGUUAAGUCCCGCAACGAGCGCAACCCACGUCUUUAGUUGCCAGCAUUGAGUUGGGCACUCUAGAGAGACCGCCGGUGAUAAACCGGAGGAAGGUGUGGAUGACGUCAAGUCAUCAUGCCCCUUACAUCCUGGGCUACACACGUACUACAAUGCUACGGACAAAGGGCAGCAAACUCGCGAGAGCUAGCAAAUCCCAUAAACCGUGGCUCAGUUCAGAUCGUAGGCUGCAACUCGCCUACGUGAAGGAGGAAUCGCUAGUAAUCGCAGGUCAGCAUACUGCGGUGAAUACGUUCCCGGGCCUUGUACACACCGCCCGUCACACCAUGGAAGUUGGCCACGCCCGAAGCCGUUACUCCAACCCUUGUGGAGGAGGACGUCGAAGG
rnacentral:rRNA from 1 species